rnacentral:rRNA from 1 species
AACGAACGCUGGCGGCAUGCCUAACACAUGCAAGUCGAACGAGACCUUCGGGUCUAGUGGCGCACGGGUGCGUAACGCGUGGGAACCUGCCCUUAGGUUCGGAAUAACUCCCCGAAGGGGGUGCUAAUACCGGAUAAUGUCUUCGGGCCAAAGAUUUAUCGCCUUUGGAUGGGCCCGCGUUGGAUUAGCUAGUUGGUAGGGUAAAAGCCUACCAAGGCGACGAUCCAUAGCUGGUCUGAGAGGAUGAUCAGCCACACUGGGACUGAGACACGGCCCAGACUCCUACGGGAGGCAGCAGUGGGGAAUAUUGGACAAUGGGCGAAAGCCUGAUCCAGCAAUGCCGCGUGAGUGAUGAAGGCCUUAGGGUUGUAAAGCUCUUUUACCCGGGAUGAUAAUGGCAGUACCGGGAGAAUAAGCUCCGGCUAACUCCGUG